ACAAGGCCACGUUCGAAAUGGGUCUGAAAUAUAAAACAGCGGUAGUGUAGUUUACAUUACAGACAUGAAAAUUUUCAUUUACUGAUAUUAUUACAUAUUCAUACAUAUCGCCGAAUCUUGCUCAAUAGCAGACUGUAGAUGACUGAACAUCCCAUGAUUUAGGCACGCAAAAUAAGCUACUACGGAGUACUAUAUUCCAACCCAUCCACCGUUAGAUGGUCCGUUAGAUUAUUCGCUAUCUUAUCCUAUGGUAACCGAGAGUAUAAUCCCAAAAGGAUACAAACCUCUCGGUUCCAUUCCACGUUGCAUGCCAUCAUCCAUUACUUAGGUACAGGGGAUGCAAGUGGGGCUAGGCGGACCAAACUGCGAGUCGCUCUCAUGGCGUUGCAGUUCCAUCAGGUGUAUGUGGGCACUCGUAGAUGUUUCUGCAUCGCCGGGUGUAUGGUCGGUUAGGAUCCAAGACGCCUGGUUUCAGUGGUUCGUUACCCACCGACGACGACGACUGAUCUGCUAGCGUCCUUCCUGCACAAGAACUCGCCUCACGCACGGUUAAAUUUCUUUAUGAGUUAUUACAACAGCAACAAAGAUGAGACGAGAAAGCACAUGUGACUGUAACCUAUAUACCGGCCUCUGCAGGGACGGCGUGCAUGGCCGAGAUGACAAGGAAGGCCAUCAGGAACACCAUGCACACAAUCUGCCGCUGCUGCUGCUGCUUCGCCAUCACGCCGGUCUCUUCUCCAGCUGAUCGCAGGUAGAUGAAUCUCCAGCCCUCGAUCGGGUGUGCGCUGCGGGAUGUACAAAGGCAGCAAGGUUCUUUGAGCACCAUUAUAUAGAGGUGCCUGCAGUCAGAAGCACCUCCUAAGAUUUCAGUUUUUAUGCUUAUACACCCUCUCUAA
rnacentral:lncRNA from 1 species